rnacentral:rRNA from 1 species
GACGAACGCAGGCGGCGUGCUUAACACAUGCAAGUCGAACGGAAAGGCCCUGCUCUUGUGGGGUGCUCGAGUGGCGAACGGGUGAGUAACACGUGAGUAACCUGCCCUUGACUUUGUGAUAACUUCAGGAAACUGGGGCUAAUACCGGAUAGGAGCUCCUGCUGCAUGGUGGGGGUUGGAAAGUUUCGGCGGUUGGGGAUGGACUCGCGGCUUAUCAGCUUGUUGGUGGGGUAGUGGCUUACCAAGGCUUUGACGGGUAGCCGGCCUGAGAGGGUGACCGGCCACAUUGGGACUGAGAUACGGAGCAGACUCCUACGGGAGGCAGCAGUGGGGAAUAUUGCACAAUGGGCGGAAGCCUGAUGCAGCAACGCCGCGUGCGGGAUGACGGCCUUCGGGUUGUAAACCGCUUUCGCCUGUGACGAAGCGUGAGUGACGGUAAUGGGUAAAGAAGCACCGGCUAACUACGUG